rnacentral:rRNA from 1 species
GAUGAACGCUGGCGGCGUGCCUAAUACAUGCAAGUCGAGCGAACAGACGAGGAGCUUGCUCCUCUGACGUUAGCGGCGGACGGGUGAGUAACACGUGGAUAACCUACCUAUAAGACUGGGAUAACUUCGGGAAACCGGAGCUAAUACCGGAUAAUAUAUUGAACCGCAUGGUUCAAUAGUGAAAGACGGUUUUGCUGUCACUUCUAGAUGGAUCCGCGCCGCAUUGGCUAGUUGGUAAGGUAACGGCUUACCAAGGCAACGAUGCGUAGCCGACCUGAGAGGGUGAUCGGCCACACUGGAACUGAGACACGGUCCAGACUCCUACGGGAGGCAGCAGUAGGGAAUCUUCCGCAAUGGGCGAAAGCCGGACGGAGCAACGCCGCGUGAGUGAUGAAGGUCUUCGGAUCGUAAAACUCUGUUAUUAGGGAAGAACAAAUGUGUAAGUAACUAUGCACGUCUUGACGGUACCUAAUCAGAAAGCCACGGCUAACUACGUG